rnacentral:lncRNA from 1 species
GUUGCAAUCACUAAAAUACAACACCAGAAGGUGAAUCCUACUUUUUCGGAUUCUGUUAGAACACCAUUGGAGUCCUCGUGGCCACCAAACUCUGUUGUCUAAGACCUGGAGGGGUGAAAAACAAAGUUGAGUGGGUCAGUAAAACACAUUUACACAAAAACCUUAUUUUCUUUUGAGUACACUAACCCCUCGCCGUAAAACAAGUAUAUGAUUACUUUCCCAGAAAAUAGAAUACAUAAAUAUGUAUAUAAAUAUAUCAUUUCAAAUCAUGCUUUACAUAUUCAUAAUCAUAUGUAUGUCAUGCCAAGAUAUAACAAGGUAAGCAAUUCAGGUAAGAAUAAAUUCAUAGAAAUAUAACAUAUUAGUUGAAACCCCUGUGAAAGUUUGUACGGCUGAAUUCAUAGCUCAAAAGUCAAUCUAGCCGAAGUCACUACAAUGACCUAUAUGGCAAUAUACUGCAUAUAAGUCGGAACCACUAAUAAAAAAGGUCUGUACGACAAGAUUGGGUGUAAUAUAAUUAUGCUCAAUUCUACUCUCUCAUAAUAGUUGGGCGAUAAAUCGCUAGUCACUUACGAGUCGGAACUAUAAAUAAGGUCUGUACAACAAGACUGUGCACUUAAAUUGGAUCCGAUAUUAGCAUAUAGUGCGGGGGCGACAUAAUAAAUAGACUUGUACUUCAUAUCUCUGGCUAAAUCACAAUCACCCUAGGUGUAGUUUUAUGAGCUCAACAUUAUUCAAUCACAUAUCACAUCAUCGAUGAUUCACAUAACCAAACACAACUUACCUGAGCUUCAGGGCGUCCACAACACCACAUUUAAAUAUAUAAAGCUUCACAUACCAAUUCAUGUACGAAAUAUAAAUUCAUAUGCAUGGCAUUUAAAUCGCAUUUCCUUUAAAUAUGUUUUCUGGGAAAAACGUCAAGUAUAUAUAUAUUGAAAAUAACUACCCACUUACAAAUAUGUCGAUGGGUCGUAGCCCCCGAGCCUCGAUUGAUUACGCUCGUCCUGAGAAUAGGCCUCACCUAUGAGCGAAACAACUAUAUAAACGUCACUUUAAUGCACAUAUACCAAACUAUGUAAUAACUUCUCAGACAUAGCUCAAAUUGGGUAUAUGAAUAUAACACAAUGACCUACACAACCUCAGGAUCAUCCCUAUAUUUUUAGAAUAUUUUUUCCGACCAUCCACGCGCUGCCACGCGUCGGCCAAGGCACGGCAAUAUGCACCGCCCACGUGCGGCCACAUGCCAGGCAUGCUGACGGCGUCAGUUAACGCCGUCAGGAAUAUUCCGUCAACUUCUAACUGUUACUGUUAAAUCUAACUAACGGUGUUGGAAUAUUCCAUCAGACUUGACGGAAUAUUCUGUCGUCUUCAACCUUGGGACUCCGACGACCGUCGUCGUCGUCGGAAAACUGGGGAUUUUUAGAACUUUGAUUUCUCACUCGUUUCUUCACCAUUUUCACGAAGUUCAUACCAAAAUGAAGCUCUUAACUUGUAGAACACAAUCAUACUAAUUUAAAGCUCUAAAAGUCAUGGGAUCUCACUGGAGAAUUCCAAGAAAAACUGGCCAAACUUCGUUCACACGAUCCCAACUUCUAAAACCUUCAAACGAAGCACUCCAAGCUUCUCACUAAGCUUCCUUCAAGCUUCAAAUUUCCAAAAACAUCCAUAAUUACGUGUGCAUGAAUAGUGCACAAAAUCGGGGGUUAUGAAAAACUAGGGUUUUCGAAGGUAUCUUUACCUAAAAUGGGUACCAAUCGACUCGUCUGAGCUUCACGAACACAAUGGUGCCAACUUUGACCACGAUCCGUGAAGUUUCAAGGGUUUUGGGUGCUUGUCCAUACGAGUUCGAAGGAGAGAGAGUGAAACCGAGAGAGAGUGUGUGCACGAGAGUGAGAGAGAGAAUGGAGGAGUGAUGUGUGGUCCAAAAUAGUGAACAACCCACAAUACACCAAACUCUAAUCCUAAUUGGUUCCAAACAAUUAGGAUUUAAGAAUAUGGGUCCAAAAACACAAUUAAACCAAUAAUACAACUCAAUGACCAUGGGUAAUUCUGACUUUUCACACUCCGAUAAAUAAUUUCUAGGACGAGUUGUCACACAAUAAGCAUUUUAUUUUCAAUUUUUAGUUUUAUGAAAUCUCAAAACUAAAGUAUUGUUUCAUAACUACUUUCAAUUUUUUGAAAAUUAAAAAUUAAAAACUAAAAGUACUUACCAAAUAAGAUUCAUAUUUAAAAAAUAAAAAAAAAUAAAAAAAAAUUAUCAAACAAUUCCGGAUGUUAAUAAUAGAAAAACAAACAAAUAAUCUUUAAAUCCCAAUGAAAUAAAAGAAGGGAACUUUAACGAAAAGAUUCUGGUACUAUUUACUUUAAAGAAAAAUGAUAUUUUUAC